UACGAAAGGUGCGAGCGUUAAUCGGAAUUACUGGGCGUAAAGCGUGCGUAGGCGGCUAAUUAAGUCGGAUGUGAAAGCCCCGGGCUCAACCUGGGAGGUGCAUCCGAUACUGGUUGGCUAGAGUGUAGCAGAGGGGAGUGGAAUUUCCGGUGUAGCGGUGAAAUGCGUAGAGAUCGGAAAGAACACCAGUGGCGAAGGCGACUCCCUGGGUUAACACUGACGCUGAGGUACGAAAGCGUGGGUAGCAAACAGG
rnacentral:rRNA from 1 species